rnacentral:tRNA from 1 species
GGCGUCGUGCCUGAAUCAAAGGGCCACUUUGAUAGAGUGAACCAUGAGGGUUAAAACCCCUCCGACUCCU